AUAUAGAACCUAUUAUGCGGGCAAUCCUCUUAAGCAUGCGUGUUUGGUGUUAUUAUUAAGGUUUUCAACGUGAAUAUCGAAGAGACUUUCUGGAUAUUAUUGUUGCAGUGGGAGAGUUUCGGAUAAACAUUGAUAUCGUGUUCCUAAUUGCCAAUCAUCAUGCCGCAAGUCAAGUCAUUUGCGUGUGUCCGGAUCAUUUUUAUGAUUCUAAAUGUAUUGUUAUUGUUAAUGGGAAUAGCUAUGAUAGCGGUUGGAUGUUAUGUACAACUAAGUAAAGGAAACGUCCUCAUUUUAUUACCAGACUAUGAGUUUGUCAACGUGGUAGCUGUGAUGGUGGCAUCAGGGAUUAUCGUUCUUGUAGUGUCUAUCAUUGGAUUCUGUGGAGCCUGUAUGCUGAGUCAAUGUAUGCUGAUUAUUUAUUUUACUAUGAUACUGGUUGUGUUUGCCCUUCAAAUAUCAGUUGGAAUAAUAGCUUAUAUCUACAGAGACGAGGUCAAUCGAAGCCUCGAGGAACAGUUGUUGGCUGGAUUAGAGAACCGUAAAGUACAACAAUCAUGGGAUGCUAUUCAAAGAGGUUUCCAAUGUUGCGGUGUUCGCGGACCGGAAGAUUGGAGUAAUCGCGGAGCGUAUUCUAACAAUGAUGUACCCGAUUCCUGCUGUCAGUAUUCAGGCUGUGGAACUGGUGGAGUAAACGCCUAUAAAGCUGGAUGUUUAAAUACAGCUAAAAUGUUUAUUAGUGAUAAUUUCCUGGCAUUAGGCGCCACUGGCAUCGCUUUAGGACUUUUACAGUUAUUUUUAAUGGCUAUAGCACUAGCAAUGAUUUGCUGUCUUAGAAAAGGAAGACAUAUAGAAAGUACCUUGGCAUAAACAUAACAUAUUUCAUAAUAUAGCAUUGUCCAAUAAUAAACCCGGAAACAGAUCACAUAGAGAUACUUUAGUUGAAUACAAAGAAGCAGAUAAUUUGGGCAGCAAGAAACCUUGAUUACGCAUCUAUCGUAGCAAUGAUCUCCGUGUUAAAAUUAUAUUUGGGACGUGUUUAACGAGUUCUAUCACAUGUGAUAAUGAAUGACACCAAUAUUGCCCUUUAAGAUAAAUCUUCCUAGUUUAAAUGGGUGUAAAUAUGUUUCCCAAAGAGUUUCGAAGAAAUUUCCUAAAUAUUUGGGCUACAAUAUCCAUAAACACGUUCGUGUUUCGUAUUAAUCGAGGGUUUAUUGUCCAUUUAUCCAUGCUUCAAUUAUCCAUUAGCACACCUUGACGCAACCGCGUCUCGUGUUCUAAUAAUUCAAGCAUGGUUAAAUGGAAAAUAAACCCCCUCUAAAUACAAAAAACGUACGUGUUUAUCUCCAAAUUAACAUGACAAACCCAUAAUCAACUCUUUAGAUCAUCGGAUUAGAACAUCUGUGCCAUUUAAUAAUUUAACGCUAAAAUGAAUAAUCGAGAUUUUGUUUAUUAUCGUAGCAAUGAUACAUGACAAUAGAGACUAUCUAUAACUUCGCCUAGGAUUGGCAAGUUCCUGUCCAAAUCUUGUAAAUAAUGCAUUUGUAAAUGUAUAUAGCGGAACUAUGAUCAUCUAAUUCCUGGAAGUCUGUUAUAUUUAACUCUUAAAAACAUUUUCUACUCUUUGUUUAAUUCUAAUCGCCCUAGGCCCUUAUUCACGAAAACUUAAACUAAGAUACAAUCGAAAUUUUAAGAAAUACUGCAAUUCGAUUAGCUGACCAAUAUGCAAAUUGGAUAUAUGCAAAUUGAUUUUACUGGUCAGCCAAUCGAAUUGCAGUAUUUCUUAAAAUUUCGAUUGUAUCUUAGUUUAAGUUUUCGUGAAUAAGGGCCCUGCACUGGGUAAUAUAAAGUAACAUUUUAAUAAUUUCCCUAGAUCAGGGAAGGUUGUUUUAACCAUCUGUAUAUUAUAUUGUAUGAAAUGUAAGAUUAAACAAAGUAAAUAUUAUUGUUAUAUAUCUUGUAAAAACAAUAAAAGCAGUUAUUUUGUAA